AUCCAAAUUAAAACAAAUCUUGAAAAUUUCUCUCACUCCCUCACCCUCACCAAUCGACACACUCUCUCUCUCUCUCCCUCAUCUCUCUCUUUUCCUCCAUUAACAACCAUAGAUGAAGACCUUCGAAGCUUCAUAAAUUCAUAUCAAAAGCAAAUCCACCUCUAGAUCUAUCCAAAACAUGCACCCUCUAUCUCCUAGAAUUCAAGAAAAUCCUUGGAGUUUAGAUUCAAAGUUAGAAAGAGAAAGUUUGAUUUUUGGGUGUAAGCUUGGGUAAGUGGUCUUUAAAUUCAUAGAUCUAGCUUGUAUGAUGUUAUAUGUGAGUUUAUUUGGAGGAUUGAAAGCAAGAAAUCACCCCCUCCCUUUUUCUUUGAAAUUUUCGAAAAUUGUGGGUCUUUACCCUUCAAAAAAUUUUCUUUUUCUUUCCUUAAAUUGGGGUGAGAAAUGUGAUCUAUGAUAUGUUUGACGAUGAUUGAUGUGUGAAUUGAAAAGCUAUGUCUUGAGAUGCAAAGUUUGGUUGAGUUUAGUUUACCCAAAAUUGGGAAUUUGUGAGUUGAUGUUUGAAAUGAUGAAUUGAUGAUGAGCAUGAGAUUAUGAGAUGUCUAAGAUGAUAAUUGAUGGAUUAAAUUGAGGAUAUGAUGUUAAUUGAUGACUUUGAUGUGAGUUAGUUUGAUAAAAUUAGGGAUAUGUGUAUCUAUGCCCUAAAUUGUUAAUUGAUGGUUUAUAUGUGAGAUUAAAUGGUUAAAAUUGAUAGAUCUGUGAUUGGAUUAAAGUUUCAUAUGUGUUUGUGAAAUUUCAAAGAGUUUAGUGUAACCAAAAUUAGGACUUUCAUGCCUAUGUGUUAAAUAAGUAAAUUGGCUUAGGAUAAAUGUAAUUGAGCAUGAUAUUAGAGUCUAAUUAUGCUUGGUUAGGUUAAAUGUUAGCUAUAUAAAAUUUUAACUUAGUUUAGUUUACACAAGUUUUAGGUUUUCAUGUGUUAUGAGGUCAAUGAUUGGUUUAAUGAGGUUUAAUUGAUAUACGAUCAUUAUGUGGACGUUUGUCAUGCUUUAUUUAAGAGUCCACGUUGAUAUGUGAGUUUUCUCCGAGUUUAGUUUGCAUGAUAAAAGAGAGUCUAUGUAUGUGUAAUGAGUUAUGUGAUGUAUGAGGUCAAUUAUGAGUGAUUGAGUACUUUUGAGCAUGAAAAUGAGAUGAGUAUUAAAACGAUGCGUUCUUGAAACGUUUUCUUGAGAUUUGAGUUUGAGAUGUAAGAGAAGAGUCGAGCUUGAGUUGUGAUGAGUAAUAUGUUCAUACUUGAAUGUUUUUAAGUGCUAUAAGUGUUGAAGUUGAGUUUUAAGAAGUUUUUAUUGAUGAAGUGUAGAGUCGAGCAUGUUUGCUUGAGUGUUUGAGUUGGGAGAUGUUUUUCGUGACGCACUGACCUACUGAUUUAGAAGGGUUUAUGUUACCCAAAAACCUUGAAAAUUUUAUGACACGUUUAUAUGAGAUUCUUAAGCAUACCGGUAAAAUUUAAAGUUAUUUGGACUUUGUUUACUAUAUUUAUAAAAUGGAAAACCAAAACUGCUACGUUCUGCCGAAAUGUUCGGUGAGUAGCCAAAAGCGUCGCCUUUUACAGUAUCUUUCCCUAACGGUUUGGAGUCCAAAUUUUUAUUUUUGAGACAUGAGUGUCUUAUCUAAGUACCUACCAAAUUUUAGACCUUUUCGGCAACGUUUACUAUUUUUCAAAAAUCAAAGUUUUUAAUUGCUCAAAACUGCCGAAUAUGGUAGACUGUAGAAACAUAGUCAUAUAUCCUAAACUACUUGGAUUUUUUUAUCCUACUUUUUUUAAAAUGAAACUAGACUCAAAGAGUUUUCAAAUGGUAUAGGUUACAACUCCAUUGGAGUUCUGUACCGAGUCUGGUGAAGGUUUUAAAUCGAGUCAGUGCAGAAUGAAGUUUGUUUACGACAUGUCUAUGUGUGAAUUGAUAUGCUUAUGUGUUUAUGCUUGUUUAUGUGCUUGAUUGCUAUGAGUUUGAUCCGAGUUGAGUGUUAAGUCGAGAAUAGGACGUGUGAAUCCUUAGAAGUUAAGUAAACCUAGGGAUUGAGAUUUAUUGGGUAAAUAGAAGAUGAGUGAGAAGUAUUAGUUUGAGACGAGAUUGGUUUUAGUAACGAGUUCUAACUAAGGUUUGUUUUAUCACAUGAACCUUCGAUGACGAUGAUGAUGAUAUAUGAAGGCCCGAGCGAGAUGAAGAAGUAAGUCGCCUGUUUUCCUUUCCAAGUUGAGCGAAGGACUUCAGGCUAAGCGAGGAGCGAGAUUGGUCUGGUGCUGGUGGGGGAUUGUUUAGUUGAUGUAUUUACUUUAUCGCAUUUCCAUUUUGUCGAUACAGUCUUGAUGAUUGAGUUACUUUGUUUUCUUUUGAAUCAAGCAAUGUACUCUCGGUUAUGUGUCUUCAUACAUAUAAUCAGUUCGAUUUUUGCUGCGAUACUCUGAAUUUUAUGCUUCCUUAUGAAAAAUGAGCUAUACCCGCUUUGUUUU